rnacentral:rRNA from 1 species
UACAGAGGUCUCAAGCGUUGUUUCGGAUUCAUUGGGUUUAAAGGGUGCGUAGGCGGCCUAUUAAGUCAGGGGUGAAAGACGGUAGCUCAACUAUCGCAGUGCCUUUGAUACUGAUGGGCUUGAAUAUACUAGAGGUAGGCGGAAUGUGACAAGUAGCGGUGAAAUGCAUAGAUAUGUCACAGAACACCGAUUGCGAAGGCAGCUUACUACACAGUUAUUGACGUGAGGCACGAAAGCGUGGGGAUCAAACAGG